GACGAACGCUGGCGGCGUGCCUAAUACAUGCAAGUAGAACGCUGAAGAGAGGAGCUUGCUCUUCUUGGAUGAGUUGCGAACGGGUGAGUAACGCGUAGGUAACCUGCCUUGUAGCGGGGGAUAACUAUUGGAAACGAUAGCUAAUACCGCAUAACAAUGGAUGACACAUGUCAUUUAUUUGAAAGGGGCAAUUGCUCCACUACAAGAUGGACCUGCGUUGUAUUAGCUAGUAGGUGAGGUAAUGGCUCACCUAGGCGACGAUACAUAGCCGACCUGAGAGGGUGAUCGGCCACACUGGGACUGAGACACGGCCCAGACUCCUACGGGAGGCAGCAGUAGGCAAUCUUCGGCAAUGGGGGCAACCCUGACCGAGCAACGCCGCGUGAGGGAAGAAGGUUUUCGGAUCGUAAAGCUCUGUUGUAAGUCAAGAACGGGUGUGAGAGUGGAAAGUUCACACUGUGACGGUAGCUUACCAGAAAGGGACGGCUAACUACGUG
rnacentral:rRNA from 1 species